GGGGAAGUGUCGGAACUGGUAGACGAGCGUGACUUAGGAUCACGUGCCAAUAGGCGUAGGGGUUCGAGUCCCCUCUUCCCCACCA
rnacentral:tRNA from 1 species